UGACCCCGACGUGAUUUGAACACGCAGCCCUUCUGAUCUGGAGUCAGACGCGCUACCGUUGCGCCACGGAGUC